rnacentral:rRNA from 1 species
CGGCAACAGCUCAAAUUUGAAAUCUGGCUCCCUCGGGGGUCCGAGUUGUAAUUUGCAGAGGGUGCUUUGGCGUCGAGCGCGGUCUAAGUUCCUUGGAACAGGACGUCACAGAGGGUGAGAAUCCCGU